UGGGGAAUAUUGCACAAUGGGCGCAAGCCUGAUGCAGCGACGCCGCGUGAGGGAUGGAGGCCUUCGGGUUGUAAACCUCUUUCGCCAGUGAAGCAGGCCUUCUUCUUUGUGGGGUGGUUGACGGUCGCUGGAUAAGAAGCGACGGCUAACUACGUGCCAGCCGCCGCGGUAGUAAGUAGGGGGCGAGCGAUGUCCGGAAUGAUUGGGCGUAAAGAGCGCGUAGGCGGCUGGUCGCGUCAGUCGUGAAAUCCCCUGGCUUAACGGGGGGAUUGCAGUGGGUACGGGCAGGCUUGAGUGCGGUAGAGGGGAGUGGAAUUCCUGGUGUAGCGGUGGAAUGCGCAGAGAUCAGGAGGAACACCGGUGGCGAAGGCGGGUCUCUGGGCCGUUACUGACGCUGAGGAGCGAAAGCGUGGGGAGCGAACAGG
rnacentral:rRNA from 1 species